AGGAGACGUCAUUGGCACGGAAGAGGAAGGGGAAGCUACUGGAGUCUUCGCGGGAGCCAAAGCAGAGGAUUUAGGAGCCUUGAUGGAAGGGGAUGCUGCUGGAGCCCUCGCCGGAGCUGCUGUGGGAGUGGAUAUCGGCGACGGAGAAGCAGGAGAAAUGGCGGGAGCUGUGGAUAUCGGCGACGGAGAGGCAGGAGAAAUGGCGGGAGCUGUGGAUAUCGGCGACGGAGAGGCAGUAGAAAUGGCGGGAGCUGUAGAUAUGGGCGACGGAGAAGCAGGAGAAAUGGCGGGAGCUGUGGAUAUGGGCGACGGAGAGGCAGGAGAAAUGGCGGGAGCUGUUGAUAUCGGCGACAGAGAAGCAGGAGAAAUGGCGGGAGCUGUGGAUAUAGGCUUUUGAGGAGGAGAUAUAGAAGGAGAACUGGUCGGAGAAACUGCCGGAGAUUGGCCAUCA
rnacentral:lncRNA from 1 species